rnacentral:rRNA from 1 species
CCAGGAUGGGAUCAUGAGUUCACAUGUCCGCAUGAUUAAAGGUAUUUUCCGGUAGACGAUGGGGAUGCGUUCCAUUAGAUAGUAGGCGGGGUAACGGCCCACCUAGUCAACGAUGGAUAGGGGUUCUGAGAGGAAGGUCCCCCACAUUGGAACUGAGACACGGUCCAAACUCCUACGGGAGGCAGCAGUGAGGAAUAUUGGUCAAUGGGCGAUGGCCUGAACCAGCCAAGUAGCGUGAAGGAUGACUGCCCUAUGGGUUGUAAACUUCUUUUAUAAAGGAAUAAAGUCGGGUAUGCAUACCCGUUUGCAUGUACUUUAUGAAUAAGGAUCGGCUAACUCCGUGCCAGCAGCCGCGGUAAUACGGAGGAUCCGAGCGUUAUCCGGAUUUAUUGGGUUUAAAGGGAGCGUAGAUGGAUGUUUAAGUCAGUUGUGAAAGUUUGCGGCUCAACCGUAAAAUUGCAGUUGAUACUGGAUGUCUUGAGUGCAGUUGAGGCAGGCGGAAUUCGUGGUGUAGCGGUGAAAUGCUUAGAUAUCACGAAGAACUCCGAUUGCGAAGGCAGCCUGCUAAGCUGCAACUGACAUUGAGGCUCGAAAGUGUGGGUAUCAAACAGGAUUAGAUACCCUGGUAGUCCACACGGUAAACGAUGAAUACUCGCUGUUUGCGAUAUACGGCAAGCGGCCAAGCGAAAGCGUUAAGUAUUCCACCUGGGGAGUACGCCGGCAACGGUGAAACUCAAAGGAAUUGACGGGGGCCCGCACAAGCGGAGGAACAUGUGGUUUAAUUCGAUGAUACGCGAGGAACCUUACCCGGGCUUAAAUUGCACUCGAAUGAUCCGGAAACGGUUCAGCUAGCAAUAGCGAGUGUGAAGGUGCUGCAUGGUUGUCGUCAGCUCGUGCCGUGAGGUGUCGGCUUAAGUGCCAUAACGAGCGCAACCCUUGUUGUCAGUUACUAACAGGUGAUGCUGAGGACUCUGACAAGACUGCCAUCGUAAGAUGUGAGGAAGGUGGGGAUGACGUCAAAUCAGCACGGCCCUUACGUCCGGGGCUACACACGUGUUACAAUGGGGGGUACAGAGGG